GAUGAACGCUGGCGGCGUGCUUAACACAUGCAAGUCGAACGGAAAGGCCCAAGCUUGCUUGGGUACUCGAGUGGCGAACGGGUGAGUAACACGUGGGUGAUCUGCCCUGCACUUCGGGAUAAGCCUGGGAAACUGGGUCUAAUACCGGAUAGGACCACAUUUUGGAUGGUGUGGUGGAAAGUUUUUCGGUGUGGGAUGAGCUCGCGGCCUAUCAGCUUGUUGGUGGGGUAAUGGCCUACCAAGGCGUCGACGGGUAGCCGGCCUGAGAGGGUGUACGGCCACAUUGGGACUGAGAUACGGCCCAGACUCCUACGGGAGGCAGCAGUGGGGAAUAUUGCACAAUGGGCGCAAGCCUGAUGCAGCGACGCCGCGUGGGGGAUGACGGCCUUCGGGUUGUAAACUCCUUUCGCUAGGGACGAAGCGUUAUGUGACGGUACCUGGAGAAGAAGCACCAGCUAACUACGUG
rnacentral:rRNA from 1 species